AGCUCUAUGGUGGGGCUAAUGGUGAUCUCCUUCAAGAAGACUUUUGCCACAAACCGUGCCUCCCAGGUCUGUAGCAGCCAGAGACUCUGCCUCCAUGCAAGGCCUCUGCUGAUCCAUGCCUCUGCAGGAGGCACUCAAACCCUUAAAGGCAGGUCUGGCUUAGUCUCUUGUGGGGUCCCUGGGUCCUGGUGCACACAAGGCUUGGUUUGAGCACCCUGAGCUACUUUGGAGGGUAUGGGGUUUGAUUCUGAAUGUGAUAUCACACCUCCUACCAUCUCACUGGGGCUUCUCCUUUGCCCUUGGAUGUGGGGUAUCUUUUCUAGGUGGGGUCCAUCAUUCUCCUGUUGAUAGUUGUCCAUCAGUGAGUUGCAAUUUUGGAAUUUUCUUGGGAGAAGAUGAGUAAACAUGCUUCUACUCUGCCACUUUGAAUCAUUGUGUUGAAUCAGCAUGCAUUUUAGCAUUUCUUUUUUCUGAUCUGUUAGGUUCCCAUUCAUUAAAAUGCAGAAACUCUGAUUUCUUUCCUGUUCCUCUCCUUCAUCCAGCAAAGAGGAUGAUUUAAUGGCAGCUCAGUCAUAGUCACUAACCUCCCACAUGCAUACACUCCACCCCAUGUCCUCGUCAAGAAAACAAACCACGAGCAAUUCCUGAGCAGCCUCACCAGUGUUCUGACAGCUACUCUGUGUCCCUCUAGCUCCCCAUGAAGAAGAGGUGCAGGAACUGCCCCAAGCCUGGACUGAAGAGCAGGCUUUGUGUACCUGGGAGGUGCACAGAACAGCCUAUGAAUAUCAUCAAUACUAAAGGGUCAUCCCUCUGCUGAGGAAAAAUCCAGUUGAUGAAGAAUGGGUUGUGGAGAGCAUUGCAGCAGUGGUAUGGAAGAGAACUCAGGUAGAGAUCAACUUUCAGGUGGGAUUUAGAGGGAGAGGAUUCCUGGACCACUCGGGUUAUACCUGCUUCUUUGGAGAUGAAUGAAGAGUGCCUUGUGGAGAGCAUUUGCUGCAGUGAUGAAGAAGGGGACAGAGGUAGGAAACCACAUUCAGAUGGAUCUGAUGGGAGAGAAUUCCUGGAACUUUUAGAGUUAAACCGCCUGCUUGGAGACUGAGGAAGGUGAACAUGGAAUCAGGAAAAAGGAAAUAUGGGCAGAGCUUUGGUUUGUUCCUUUCAUAUUUUAAUGAUAUGAUAGAGAGAUUGAGUCCUUGGACUUGCACUGUGCUCUGUUUAUAACCACCUUUUCUUGCUUUGCUCUUCAAAACUUAUUUUUCCCAUAGGAGCUGCUCUUUGUUGCUUUUGUCACAGACUAAUAUGGAAGCCUGGACUCUGGUCAGCACAUCUGGGGUACUGCACACUGCAGACUAUGUUUUCUAUUGCAUAUUGAACUAUGAUGACCAUAUCCUGGUGGGCAUAAAGCUCUCAUUGCCACUUGACACUGGAGACAAUGUCCUUGUAGGGCAUGUGAGGUGGUGGGUGAGAUAUGAACUCUCUCCUUCUGCUCUUUCAGGACUUGAGGCUUCCGCUCACGUUUGCCCUCGCUGUUUAUUUGUGCACAGGAUGCUCCCAGGGGUGGAUGAGUCACAGCACACAUGUUCUGGGGUCCCUGCCUGGGUUCAGUCUCCUGGAGCUCAUCUCAGCUUCCACAGCUCCCCGAGGCUGAUGUGCUGAAGGUACUUCCAUGUGAGAGGUCCAUGUCGAGGUAUUCCUAGAGACUCUCCAUUGCCGCAGGAGUCUAGAGGCUGUGAAGGGGCUGCUGGGCUUCUUCGCACACUUGUUUUCACAGUCCUGUUGACCUGGUCUCCUGGAGUUGACCAGGCUCAGGGCAGCAGGUUCUGGGGCCACUGCUCCUCUCAGAACCCACUGCUCCAUCCAGGAAGCCUGUCCCUUUCUCUCCCGACUCCUGUCCUGCCCCAUCCUGUGUCCUUUCCUUACAUCUUCCUAGGUCCCAUCCCUCCCAGUUUUCCAAGUCUCAGUGCAAACCCAGCAGCUACCAUGUGUUUAUUUUGGACGAUCAUUGUCACAUCAUAAUGGCUAAAUGAAAUGGAUGUGUUUGCUUUUGUCCUCUCUAAGAGUCUGGGCAUACACCAUGAUCCUUCCUCCAAUGUGCCCAGGUUGGAUCCUUCCCCUUUGACUGUAAAGUGGGUGGGUUGGACCCAUCCCCAGGUCCUCUCCAGCUCUAAUUCUGCCUGAUUUGAGAGCCAUGAUUGGAGACGAUGGCCACACAUCCAUGAUCUUUCAUCCAAUGAGCCCACAUUGGAGAACUCUAGGGUAGGUGGAGGUUCAAGGAGGAAAGAAAGGAACAGUGAUUAGAGGAGAGGAAUGAAGAAGGAAGUAGAGAGGAAGCAGCGGGAAAAGGAGGAAGGCAAGGUUGUAAGCAGAGAUGCAUGGAGACAGUGACAGCCUGGAAGAGGAACAGGUUGACCCAGCCUCAUUCCUGGUCACACAAAACUUGAGUGUGGCAACAGGAUAUCUGGGGUAGGGGGCAAUCUCUUGAGCAACCCUUUUGGAAAGGCCCUUAUCAGGUUAUUCCUUCCUUUCCCACAGCUGUCAAGGUGCCAGGAAUUGAUUUGUGGGUGCAUCCUGAUCCCAGACUAAGCGAUGCCAUUUUUAUGUCUUUAUUCUCUAUGCUUUUAGUUUUUACUUUUCAGUGGGCCUGAUAACCUAUGUGCUCCUACUUCUGCUGACUCCAUCCUGAGUCUGCUGUUUGACUUUGUCAAGACAAUGACUUCCUGUCCUGGGCUCACAGAUAAGCUGCAUUCCACAAUUGAUCUAAUUGCUGGGUCUGCGGAGUGCUCCCCCUCCUCACCAGCGGCAGGCUUCCCACGGUGGGCUUCUCCACUUCAGGGAAAGGACUUUCUCCAAGUCUGCAUCUACUUUCAUCAACAGCAAUCGUAUGUGAUGCCUCUUCUCAAUCUGAAGACAUCUAACAAUCCUAAGAGGGACUGGUGUAACACUUGGUACCUGAACUAUGGACAUAAUGUGAUUUUUAACCUUGAUUAUACUUUGUCUUGGUUUAAUGAUUGUUUUGCUGCACAGAAGAAGACAAAUGGGUCUAGUCCGGUGGUUUUUCUACUGGAUGUUUAUCAAAUAUGGGAUGAGGUCAUAUGGCUAACUCCUGAAAAAGGGACACCUAAUGUCUAGUGCCCCCAUAUGCUGGGAACAAAUGGAGCCAUCCCCAGAAGUUAGCCAGCAACUUAGUUAUAAUGGCUGGAAACAACUGGGAUUUUUGCCUCAAGAAGCAAUGUAAUCAUUCCUGUGUCUUCUAAUCCCAGUUGAGGUCCUCCUUUUGACUGGCCAGACACUAACUGGGACUAGAUCCCUAAGUUACACUGGCUUGCUCCAAAUGGCACCUACUGGAUAUGUGGCUCUUAUCUAUGAAUGUGGCUUCCCCCCAGAUGGUUAGGGAGAUGCACCCUAGGUCUCCCUGGUAGCUCAGUUGGUAAAGAAUCUGCCUGCAGUGCAGGAGAGCUGGGUUCCAUCCCUGGG